rnacentral:rRNA from 1 species
CAGUCGCCGCGGGAAUACGUAGGUGGCAAGCGUUGUCCGGAGUUAUUGGGCGUAAAGGGCUCGCAGGCGGUUUCUUAAGUCUGAUGUGAAAGCCCCCGGCUCAACCGGGGAGGGUCAUUGGAAACUGGGAAACUUGAGUGCAGAGGAGGAGAGUGGAAUUCCACGUGUAGCGGUGAAAUGCGUAGAGAUGUGGAGGAACACCAGUGGCGAAGGCGACUCUCUGGUCUGUAACUGACGCUGAGGAGCGAAAGCGUGGGGAGCGAACAGGAUUAGAUACCCGCGUAGUCCCUGUCUCUUAUAC